GACGAACGCUGGCGGCGUGCUUAACACAUGCAAGUCGAACGGUAAGGCCCUUCGGGGUACACGAGUGGCGAACGGGUGAGUAACACGUGGGUGAUCUGCCCUGCACUUCGGGAUAAGCCUGGGAAACUGGGUCUAAUACCGGAUAGGACUCCUGGCUUCAUGGUUGGGGGUGGAAAGCUUUUGCGGUGUGGGAUGGGCCCGCGGCCUAUCAGCUUGGUGGUGGGGUAAUGGUCUACCAAGGCGACGACGGGUAGCCGGCCUGAGAGGGUGACCGGUCACACUGGGACUGAGAGACGGCGCAGACUCCUACGGGAGGCAGCAGGGGGGAAUAUUGCACAAUGGGCGCAAGCCUGAUGCAGCGACGCGGCGUGAGGGAUGACGGCCUUCGGGUUGUAAACCUCUUUCAGCUAUGACGUAGCGCAAGUGACGGUAGUAGCAGAAGAAGGACCGGCCAACUACGUGCCAGCCGCCGCCGUAA
rnacentral:rRNA from 1 species